CCUACGGGUGGCAGCAGUGAGGAAUAUUGGUCAAUGGACGAGAGUCUGAACCAGCCAAGUAGCGUGAAGGAUGACUGCCCUAUGGGUUGUAAACUUCUUUUAUAUGGGAAUAAAACGUUCCACGUGUGGGAUUUUGUAUGUACCAUAUGAAUAAGGAUCGGCUAACUCCGUGCCAGCAGCCGCGGUAAUACGGAGGAUCCGAGCGGUAUCCGGAUUUAUUGGGUUUAAAGGGAGCGUAGGUGGAUUUUUAAGUCAGUUGUGAAAGUUUGCGGCUCAACCGUAAAAUUGCAGUUGAAACUGGCAGUCUUGAGUACAGUAGAGGUGGGCGGAAUUCGUGGUGUAGCGGUGAAAUGCUUAGAUAUCACGAAGAACUCCGAUUGCGAAGGCAGUUCACUGGCCUGCAACUGACACUGAGGCUCGAAAGUGUGGGUAUCAAACAGGAUUAGAUACCCUGGUAGUC
rnacentral:rRNA from 1 species